UACGUAGGGGUCGAGCGUUGUCCGGAGUUACUGGGCGUAAAGCGCGCGCAGGCGGCGCGAUAAGACCGGCGUGAAAGCCCCCGGCUCAACUGGGGAGGGUCGUGCGAUACGGUCGGGCUGGAGGCCAGUAGGGGGAUGCGGAAUUCCGGGUGUAGUGGUGGAAUGCGUAGAGAUCCGGAGGAACACCAGCGGCGAAGGCGGCAUCCUGGACUGGUCCUGACGCUCAGGAGCGAAAGCGUGGGGAGCGAUCCGG
rnacentral:rRNA from 1 species